UAUAAUUAUUGUUUUCAUAAUAUAAAUGAUGAACUAGGUGGUAACUUGCACCUUGCGCAGGGUGAAUAGACUAAAAGAAAUUAAAACUUUUAUUAUGCCACAAUAAUUGAAUCAAUCAAAAUAUUUUACUUCACGAGAUUAGUGGCAUGGAUUAUUCGCGAAAUUUGCCCAGGCUACGAAACUAAUUUUAUCUGCCAAUUUUAAAAGUAUGGAAAGUACUAUAAUUAAGAAAUCAUCAUAUAGUAAACAGUAUUGACAUUGAAAAUUAAGCUGAUCGAAUAUAAAAAAAAUUGACUUUUCUGACGUGUUGAUUCCUUAAUUUUAGAGUCUUGAUGCUUAAGUUAAGGGAUUAAAUGGUAUUUGUAAGUUUGUAUCGUCCAAUCAGUCAAAAGAUAGAUUCAAUCGGCGU
rnacentral:lncRNA from 1 species